GGAGGACAGCGAGCAGCCUCCCAUGAUUCUGCGGACGGACUGACCUUGACCUGUGAACCCUUCAGAGCCCUGAGGCAGAGGACACUGACUGACAGAGGACUUCAUGUGAUGCUGCUAUGAACUUUGACCCGAGAUGGGGCGAGGACGGCAGAGACUUCAAGAGGAAAACAAAGCUUGUAGCUGUGGUCUCAUCCCACGCUGUUGAGAAAUACAUCGUUUUCACUUCAGUGGCUUUUAAUCUGGCUUUUAAGUUUUAGCUUUUUGUUUCUUUUCUCUUUUUGCCAAAAUUAACUGUUUGGUGGAGCCCUCGAAACCUCCUUGCUUUGCAUGUAUUCCUGUGCCAAGCCCGCCUGGGGGAGCUAGCGCCGCUUGGUAAGAAGCGCAGGUGGUGGGGUGUGACUCUGCUCAGCGUGUGGCGCGCCCAAGGUGGCGGGCAGCGCGGGUCUGGUUCUGCUCAGGCGGGGCCGGCGUGGGGGGGCUCGCUCCCCAGAGCCCCUCCGGGACCACUUUCCCCGUUUUAUUUUGUUAAUUAAAUUUUUUCCAAAUUGGAUUCUUCUGGGAUUUCUUCCGUGGUGGAUGUUUGUUUCUGAUCUUGUUUUCCGUGUGGUUAUUAGAAGAGGGAGGUUCUCCCUGAUGGCGAAAACUUUUCCUGCUAACAGCACACGAACUUGAAAGAGCACCUAGGAGUCCUGCAGGAGAGAGCAUGUUGGGUCAUUAGAUUUUCUGGUCUUGCCUUUAAUCUUCCUGUUGAGCAGCUGUGCGUGUGUAUUUGGUUGUGGGGUUUUUUUUUUCUCUUUUUUUCAAGGACCCUUUGUAGCUGUUUCUGUGCCCAUAAAGCACACAAUUAAGACGUGGUGGGCCCUCAGGUUAGGCUCUUACCUCGAGCUCCACGUCCACAGGGACGCUCCUCGCCCGGCUCGGGAGUGGGGAGGAAGCCGGCUGGGAAGGCCUCCCUACGGGGUGAUCUGUGCCUGCUUCCACCUUAAAGCUUGUUCAGAGUCCUGAGAGAUUGUGGUCACGAGUUCCAGGACUUGCCUGCUUUCCCUUCUCAUUUUUGUAGAAUUCAAACAACUUCCAGUACCUCGAGCUCUCCAUUCCAAGCCAAGACACUUAGCAGUUGAAGUUUUGAGAGGUGUGGUUUUUUUUGUUUGUUUGUUUUCCCUUUUUAGGGCCACAGUCUCAGCAUAUGGAGGUUCCCAGGCCCGGGGUCAAAUCGGAGAUAGAGCUGCCAGCCUACACCACAGCCAUAGAACACAGGUUCCGAGUCGCAUCUGUCACCCAUACCACAGCUCACGGCAACGCCGGCUUGUCACCCACAGGAACUGGGAGUUGUCCUUGAGCUGACCGUCCACUCUCACCGCUCGGCUCCAAGCUUCCUCCCCGGCCCAGCCGGCCCCCCAGGCACUGUCUUCUGGGGUCUUUGCUGCAACCCGUCUGCUGCCGAGAUGGGGGUCCGAGGAUUGCGGGGCGUCGCGGACCUGCCCUCGGGGGAAAAGACCACUCGUCGCUGCCAGGAAACUCACCUCGUGGACCUGUGGCUCUGGAACAGACCUUUUGUGCUUUCUGGCGCGACGGAGCCCGAGUCGGCUUGAACUUGGAGUUGGAAAGGGCUGAGAGCAGCCCCGACUCCACCCCAUGCUGCGGCGGGGCCCGGGCUCGGGGCUGCGCAGACGGGGCCAUGCCUGCCCCAUGGCGGCUUCAGGGCACCUCUCGGAGGGGACCGCAGGUGCCCGGCUCCACGCCUGGCCUGCGGCAAGCGUCUAGCACACACUGAGGCAGAAACUGGUCCUGCAGACCUGAACCGCCGUCGUCUCCGUUCUGGCCCCUGGAGCGAGGAGCUGGUGGGAGGCGGUAUGAGCCACAUUCACGCACAGGGUUCUCCGUGGCUCUCCUUGUCCCUGGCCUUCCCACCCCUGGACCCCAAGAGCAGUGCUCAGACUUGGGCGUCGGUCUGGGGGCCUGGGGACUUGCUGAGUCCUGGACACCGGGUCCUGCCCUGCGGCUCCAGGUCACCACCAGGACCCAGGCCUGCGCCCUGGGCCCAGCGCACACCUGCUCUGGCCAAGACAGGACACGAACCCCUGCCUCCCUGGUGUUAACCUGCAGCACCCAGCCCUGCCCUCUGUCAGGGCUCCGGGAGCUCACGCCGCAUGGACCAAGCCUAACCUGCUCACAGGCUCACUUGCGGAGGAGAGGCAAGAAUCUCUCGCCUUGCCUGGGGCCAGCAGGGACCACUUGCCAAGGACACCGGAAGCCUGGGCUCACCGGGCAGCGCUGGCGGCGUCUCCCCAGGCCUUUCCCACCGUCACCUCUGAUGCUCAGGUGCAGAGCUGCCCACGGGCUGCGCCUGGACGGGUGUUUGUCCCCCACCCACCUCCGGUCUCUGUGGCUCCUCUUUGCAUGUGGGGACAGUGGGGUCCCUGGUUUAAAACGUCCGUGUGUCACUGCGGGUAACACCGCUGGAAACCCAAAGUUGUCAUUUCACAAGUGUCCUUGGUCUUCCUUCGGCUCGAGGUGGGUGAUUGGAUUUGUGGCGUCAGAAACGCAGAAACAAAGUGCACGCAAGCCUUUGGCGCUGUGCCCGGAGAGCACUUUCUACAGGAUUCUCCUUGCCCGUCGCUCCUCCGCGGACAGUGUGGUGAGCCCUGACCCCCAAGCGGAGAGAUUUCCCUGCUGUGUAUUUUCGUUCUUAUCCUGGUCAAAGUCCUUGGCCCACGUGGUACCUUUCUGUUCUGAAUUUUGUCAAGCACAAAAAAAAUUGCAAUUUUGAGGUGUGAUCAGCCCAGCCCUUACCGUUCCCUGGCAUCUGACCAGGAGAGUCUUUAAUACGGGAGAAUUAAAUCUUUUUGAAGGUCAGAAUUUAAA
ensembl:lncRNA